rnacentral:misc_RNA from 1 species
AGUAUAGAACAGCUCUUAGUCUUGUUGGUGGAAGGUGGUGUGGCGGACGUUGUGUUUCUAUAUGAAUGCACUGUAUUUUUUUCACAUUUCCUAACCUGCUGGACUUGAGAAAUACACGAUCCGCAACCAGUGAGGCGGGCGUGUCUGUACCGUGCAGGGGAGAGUGUGUUGCCUGUCGUGUACAAGCUGGGGGCGGUGAAUCUUGAGUUAAAAGUGGAGGAGGAGGAGGAAGCCCAUUACUUUCCUAAGGGUCUUUAAAAGCUAUACUCGUUGUGGUGUUUGUGUUAGAUGCACGGCGGGCUGACGGUGUUGAGCCUAGUGUGUCAUAAGUCCUGACAAAUGUGACGAGAUUUAAGGACAAUAUUUCGUGUUUACCGUGUACGUGUGUGUGUGCGCGCGUGUGUAUGUAUACGCCACCACCAGUCACCACCACCAUCACCACUACCAGUUGAGACAAAGGCCAUGGUGAUGAUCCUGCUCAGGCCACGCGGCACUGCCCUCCUUCACCCGCACGCCACCGACGCCACUGCUGCUGCUGCUGCUGUCACCCUCGCAGCCGCCUCCUCUCUUGCUGCGGUUUCUGCCAUCAUGGUGAGAGUGGGCGGCGGGUGUCCCAGCGAGGAGCCGUAGUGCUGAGCCUAACAUGUCGAGGGUUGUGCCGGCCCCAUGCGUCCCAUGGGUGUGAUCACGUGUGCAGCCCCCAUGAACACCUCCAGCAAUGUCACUUACACUCACAAGAAGUUCAAGCGAGCCCCCAUUGAAGCUUCGGAGGCCCUUGACCACCAGCACCCUCCUCCCCUGCAGAGGGAGGCCCCAGCCGUCCCUAACAAGGCCUCCACACUCUGCAUAGAGACUCCCCUCACCCCCACCAAUGGCCUACUGGUCACCUCCCCGGCCUCCAUCCCUGCUGCAGCCACCAGCCCCGCCGCUCCUGAGGUGGAGGAGGCCAGGAGGAGGAAUGGCCGUGGAGGGAAGUACAAGUGUGAGUACUGUGGCAUGGGGUGUGCCAAGCCAUCAGUGCUGGACAAGCACAAGCGGACACACACCAACGAGCGGCCGUACAGCUGCAGCCAGUGCAGUACUGCCUUCAAGACCAAGAGCAACUACCUGAAGCACACGCGCUCGCGCUCCCAUGCCCUACGCCUGGACGGCCCCGAGGGCAGCGAUGGGGCAGUGGAGUCUGGAGACAAUGGGGACGGAGAGGAGGGCACCCGCUAUCCUGGCGGCCAGCAAUGCCUCCCGCUGGAUGUUUCCUUGGCAAGACACCCUGAUCCACCCAGCUCUUCCAUGGCUACUCUGGGAGCCCCAGAUGCCUCCAGGGACCAUGGGAGCUCCAUAUACAAACCCAAGUUCCGGGUGAGGCCUCAGUACCUCAUGGGUGAGGAGGAGGUCUCGCCCCCAAGACCUGAACACCAGACCACACCCCCAAGAGACCCUCCCGAUGGACAUGCAGCCAUCACCUCAACAUAUCAUGCUCCUUCCACCCUUAGUCACCCUGGUGCUCACCCUGGCCAUCCUGGCCUCCCCCGUCACUGCCGACCCCCGCAGGAAGUCCGCUCGGCCCCAAGAAAGGAGGAUGUUGGUAUUACUGGCCCCAGCAGCUCCUCACCUUCCCUGAAGAGUGUCACUCUGUGGAAGGGCAUAGAGCCUCCUAGCCCAGAGGUGGUGGGGCAACACAUCAACAAGCUCAUUGUGGAGAACGAGGCCAUCAUAGAAACCCACACCCUGUGGCCCCGUCGCUACAAGAGGCAGCCCAGCCUGGGAUCCUCUUCCAGUGAGAGUGAGAGCUCUGGCAGCGGCAGUAGUCGGAGGGGCAGUUUGGCUGACCCCGUCACUAAGAGUUCAAAGGGCAGUGUGCCUGCCCCAACCCUGCAGGGUCAGCUCAGGGAGAGGAGUCACUCCCUCACCACAGAGGCCAUGCUGGCUGAUUCCCGGUGUUCGUACAGUCCCCGUCUUCCACCCACCACCCUUCACCUGCCUCUUGCUCAGCCUACGGCCAGUGCUUCCAAACCUUCCAUAUCAUUGCCAGGACUCACUACCUCUUACUCUCAGUCACCACCUCCCCACCUCGAGUCCAGCCUCUAUGAAGUCUCAAGGAAGAGGUGCCUGUCCGAGGGGCCCGGCAUCCCCAGGGACCUCACCAAGGGUCGCCCCACUCGCCCACUGGAGGACCAAGCUGAUCUACAAAGGCAACAUCACCCGAGAAAUCCUGAAGGUUCGGUCAUCAAGAACUUGCUUCUGGGAUCCCAGGCUUCCAUGGACCAGCGUGGGCGACUUGUGCCCCACGGUGAUGUGGGGUCCUUCCCCUGCAGCAGGUGCCGGAUGCCCUUCAGGACGCUGGAGGACCUGGAUGUCCACAUGCACCACUUCUGUGGCCAACGGUCAGGGCUCAGCAGUGACAGGGGCACCCCAGAGCUGAUCAAGAAUGGGGAGGGUGGCCGGUGGGUUGGGGAGCAGGAUGUGGCGCUUGACCUCCACGUAAAACAUGACUCAGUGGAUCUUGAGCGGAGUUCCUCACGAAGUUCUUGUGGGGUGGAGGACCUCUCUCAAGAGUCCCACAUACAGCAACAGUCCCCAAAGGUGCAUCGUAGCAGAUCUGCUCCCGACGGCACUGCUCCUCAUGUCAAGAAGAGGAAGCAGUCGGCCCCGGACGAGUGUUCCCUUCCAUUCAACCCCAAGAGUCUUGAGGCUGGCAAGCUGAAGAACCACCAGCUGUUUGGAGGUGAAGUGCAGAUCUGUGAUGGUCAUGAACGCAAGACCAUGAGGAUAGAUCCCGGCCAGCAGGCCAGCCCAGCCCUGGAAAUCUGUAUACCACCCCAGCAGUUAGGUGGAGGAGCCCUGGCUAAGGCAGAGAGUUCAGUGCCCACAUCUGUGGUGGUGACCAUUGCUAAAUCAAGCCUCCACUCAGGUGGUACCAUGGUGCAGGUAGAGAGUCAGCUUAGCACCACCACUAAGACCACUCCCAGCCUUGUGACCUCAGCUUCCCACCACAAGGAGCAGCCCACACCCACCAUUGCCAAGGUUGUCCAUCCCACCACCCCUUACGCUGCUGAAGGCAGCCACUUCCCAUCCUUUCCUUACUUUACAGAGUUUGCACCCCACCUGCAGCUCCCAAACCUAGCCAUUCCUGGCAUCCCUACCCCAGACCUGGGCAGCCUGUCCUUCACUAACUACUGUCCACGAGUCCCUAAUCCAACCCUCCUCCAUCCUCAGACCACCAUUGCCCACACUGCACCCAACAACCACAAGCAAAAUGUACCCCGGUCCCCAGCUGAUUUGCCUAAAGCCCCAUUCACUCCUCCUUUCCCCGGGGCUCAGGGACAGGCCUCAUCAGGUGUAAUACAUGGGGGUGUGGUCCGUGCUGCACCUCCAGAGGCAGAGUCGAACCUCUCCCAGCCUCGGGACAAAGAAAAAGAUCCCUUAGUGGGUAAGGGACUGCCAAAGCAUGGACUGCCCACUCUUAUACCAUUUGGAGACACCAAAGUGCCACACGUGCCUGGCAUCCCUGGACCAUACUCCCAGCCCAGCCCAGUGUGUCCCUUACCAAACGGGGGCCAACGGCGACAGCCAGCCAUCUUCACCCUCCCAUCACAGACCUGUGUGACCUUCAGUGCUCCCAUCACUUCCGUCCCAGUCAGUUCCUUGAGGGAGACGAGUCUGGCUGUGCCAAGACCACGUGAGCCUCCCAGGAGCCCUGGGAGGGAGCGUGGUCCUGCUGGGAUCAGCACCCUGAGGCUUCCGCAACACCUCCCUCACAAGGACCUCCUCAGCCCCAGACCCAGGCCCUCCCUUGGUUCCCCCAGACUUCCAGAACUGAAGCCCAUCAACCAGGAGACCAAGCUGCUCCCUGCCCCACCAGAACCCAAGAUCUCAGAGAGGGUAGCCGCAUCCCCUGAACUCCGCCAAUCAGACACUCCCAGCAAGAGUGAUGCUGCUGACCAAGAGUUUCUGCCCCCAAGAAAACGUCCAAAUUUUUUGGCCCUAAAGCCACAACCCUUUGUUCCCAAGUCAUCCUUGGCUCUGAUGGGCACCACCCUGGUGAGCCCCGACACACCACGUCCUAAGAAGAGCUGCGUGCAAAUGUUCCUUAAUGGCUCAGCAUACACCUACUUGGGCCACAAGGUGUCCACCAAGACUUACUAUUGCUGCAUUUACCGGCAGCAGCCCAUGUAUGCACCGCAGGGGCCCAACUCCAAGCUUUCCAUGUACUCCAACUGGCAGAUCAAGCCGGAAGAUCCGUUCAAGCUGGUGCCCUGCCCUGCCAUGAGCCUGUACCAGUCCUGCAAGCGGGACCGCACCUUCACCGUGGCCCAGCCUAAGGAGCUUGACCUCAUCCAGACCCACUCUUCCUACUGGACCUUCAAGCAGAAGAAGGAGAAGCACAAGGAGGAGGAGGCCAGGCAAGGGGACAAAGAGGCACCUGAGAUAAAGAGUGAGGAGCCUACCAGUGCCAGCAGUGCCAAGGCAACAGAAGCUAGCUCAGAGGAGGCACCUGGUGUUGUCAUCAAGAGGGAGGCUGAGGACACCAGUGGGGACUGUCCUGGCCGCAGCAGUGACGACAGCGAAGGAACAGAGAGCAUCAGCAGCAACAAGCGCAUCAAGAUCUUUGAGGGCGGCUUCAAGAGCACUGAGGACUACACCUAUGUGCGGGGCCGUGGCCGCGGCCGGUACGUGUGUGGCACCUGUGGCAUCCGCUGCAAGAAGCCCUCCAUGCUCAGGAAACAUUGCCGCACACAUACCGACCUCCGCCCCUACGCAUGCAGCCACUGCUCCUUCAGCUUCAAGACCAAGGGCAACCUGACCAAACACCUGCGUUCCAAGGCUCACUACAAGCGGUGUGUGGAGAUGGGGGUGGUGCCGGUGCCCACCGUAGUGGAUGAGAGUCAUGUCAAUGAGGCAGCCCUGGCUUGGCAGGAUAAACUUGAGCAGGAGAGGAAACCUGACAGUCUGGAUGGUGAAGAUGAUGAUGAGGAUGAGGAUGAGGAUGAAGAAGAGGAUGUGGAUGAUGAGGAUGAAGAUGAAGAAGAUGAGGCAGCGAUGGAAGGCCACCAGUUCCAGGAUGCUCACGAGCACCACAGCAAGGGAGUGAUUACCCCUGGCACCUCCCACAGUGCCUCUGGCCCUGCCAUCACGUGCCCUGGGGAUAUCACUGGCAGUGCAGGCCUCCCCUCCUCCAGAUCUGGAGUGCUGGUGAUGCAGCACACUCCCAUUCCCUCCCUUCCAUCUUUCUCUUCCUCUUCUUCAUUGUCCAACUCUUCCUUAUCCAUACCUUCUUCCACCUCUACCACCAGCACCACCACCAUCACCCCUGCUGUCACUGUCACCACUUCCUCCUCCUUGUCCUCUGUUCCAUCCUCCUCUGCCUCCCCAUCUUCCAGCAGUUCCUCCUCACGGGUGGACUCCUCUAGGGACAGCCCCAUGGACCUCAGUGUGAGGCGUGGGGUGGGAGGUGGGGCAGCAGACAAGGCUGCUCCACACAGGCCCAGUUUCCUGCCUGUGUUGAGUCGGUCAGCACUGCUAGAGUCACCCGGCCUUCCCUCCCCCUCCACCCCAAUUCGGGAGCAUCCCUCAGAGAUCCUGUCUCCCGUCACGGAGUCGUCCAGCCUCCUCAAGUCCAUCUACCAGACCACAGAGCGUGCAGCACAGGUUUCCGCUGUGGUGCUGGACCCCAGCACUGAGAAUGGCAGCAGUCGCUCCAUGCUGAACGCCUACCUCAGGGAGCGGGCUGUCCUGGACACAGCCAUCAAGCGUCAGCAGUACAGCUUCUCAGAUGCCUCGCCUGGUUCUCCUCAUCUACCUCCUGGGGAGUCCCAGGGGCAGGAGCAGGCUGCUGCUGCUGCAAGCCAGGAGGGCAAGAAUGGAGAAAGGAUCAGUCCCUCAGCACCUCUUUCCAACACAUCCAACACCACCAGCACCUUCACCACUUCCACCACCAUCUCUAACUCUGCCAUCAUCGUCACCUCCACCCAGGUCUCCUCCUCCUCCUCUGCCAGCAGCUCUGCCUCCAGGAUGCCCACACCUCCUGCCAACCUCACUGUCAUGAACAGUGGGGGCCUGGACACCAAGACGGCCUUCCUUGUGCCCAGCGGGGUGGUGCCGUCCUCCCUCAACAGGCUUACCAACGACGAUGGAAAGUGCAAAUGUACCUUCUGCCACAAGGAGUUCAACCGGCCUGCCCAGCUCAGCCUCCACAUGAACAUCCACUACAUGGAGCGCCCCUUCCGCUGCGACUCCUGUGCCGUCUCCUUCAGGACCAAUGGCCACCUGCAGAAACAUAAGCGCUCCGUCAGCCACUUCAACAAGGUGAACAUGAACAUGACCUUCGGGACGCCCAGCACUGACAACCCCCGUCCUUUCAAGUGUCACGACUGCAAGAUUGCCUUCCGUAUCCACGGCCACCUGGCCAAGCACCUGCGCUCCAAGAUGCACAUCAUGAAACUGGAAUGCCUGGGCAAGCUGCCCUUCGGCACCUAUGCCGAGAUAGAGCGUUCUGGUGCCAACCUUAAUGAGAUAGACACUACAGACUGUGAUAACUCCCUGGAGAGUCUGCAGGCCAUGGCCUCCAGGCUGUACGAAAAGGACCCCACCAAGCUGGCUGCCUUGAGGAAGGGCCGAGAGCACCACCGCGUCCGCACCAUUAGUAACUCCUCUACUAACUCUGAUGACUACCCACUGCAGGAUGAUCAGGACGACCCUGUGGCAGGCAUUGGCCACGACGAAGACACAGAGUCCCUCAGCCAGCCUGCUGGCGUGUCACCUGUGUCAUGAGAAGUUCCUUGAGCCAGAGCACCUGAGCAGCCACCUGUAUAGUGUGCACAAAGUCUCUGUUUCAUACCGGAACAGCUAGCAUUCCCCCUUCAAUGUCCUCGGCUGGCAGGGGGAACACAAGCAGCUCUCGCACAAGGCAGGUCCUCUGUCCCCGAUGACUUGAGAUGUCUCCCUGUACCCAGCCACCCUCAUGCCCCCUGCCUGGUGCUUGCUUGAGUGCCUCGGGGUGUGUGAAGGGCCAGAGAGAAGGGUGUUAUGAACUGUGUUUGGCCAUUCAUUGUCCAAAAGCAACAAUUGCAAAAGUUUCCAAAACUGCAGUUGAUUUUUAUGCAUAACAAGAACUGUUUUGCUGAAGUGGCUUGUGAAAGUUUUGACAAACUUUGUCCAUAAUUUUCAUUGUGGCUCCAAGUGGUCUACUCUGUGCUCUGAAAAUGCUGACAUGCUGAACAGUCUAAAGUGAAUGAAGUGAGAUUCUGAGGUGAACAAUGGUGGCUCAAUAUUACACGUAUAAGUGAAUAUUUUGGAUAGAGAAUAUUUGUGGAUUUUAUAAAUACAUAUAAAAUUUAUCAGGCACUUAAAUUAUGCAUCAAAUGAAUCUUAGUUUCAGUAAAACCUGAGGCAGAUUUGAAAGGUUUAGAAACUUGUGAUAUUUUUUCUAAUAGGUUUCUGAUAUUAACAGUGGAUUCUGAUCCUCUCUGCGGGGCAAGACUGACACUGAUAUUACAGCUCCUAGCGAGCAGAGACCUGCAGGGUGCGUGUGAUGCUCAAGUGUGGUGUGUGUGGGGUGCUGCCUGGGCUGUCUUACUUCCAGUACAUAGCUAAUGCAGCUAAUACUAAUCUAUGUGUGAAGACAUUAUGUAUGUAUGUAUUUUUAUUGUAAAUUCUUUGUACUGAAAUAUCUUGUAUAGACACUGUGCCAAUAUCAGCUCACUUUGUUUUGAUUUCAUGGGAGAUGGAUAAUUUUCAGUUGUGUAAUGUUAAGUGUAUCAUCUGCUGUGCUCAAAGGCAUGGGAGCUUGUUGACCCCCGUAGACAUAUACUACUGUACCAUUCUUGUGUUGUGGGUUGUGCACCGGUCUGUGCUCAGAGUGCGGCCAGUUCCGUGACUGGCCAUAUUUUUACCUGGUCGACUCAUAGUGUCAUCAUCUUAUUUUUGCUGUACUAGUUGUAGAGUUUGUAUGAAUGUCAAAUGUUUCAACUUGCCAUAGGGAAAGAUAUUUUGGUGAAGAAUAUUGAUGUUUUUAUACAGCGACAAAAGAAGGCUUGAGUCAUUUUGUAGCGAGUGGCAAGUGGCGCCGUGAAGGGAACCACUGGGGUGUUUGGUCACACCAUUCAUCAUCACCUUCAGGUCUGACAGUAACCUUGAAAUCAGCAACUACUUCUCUUUAAAAAGACGUCAUUAACAAACUUAACUUUAACUUCUCAUGAGGUGAUCAAUAUGAAGAAGUGCAGACUGAGAGCGUCCCACAGCCAAGCCCCACCAGUGUCCCAGAGCGGUUCCUCGUGCCUGCCCCAGCGCAUGUGGUCUUGAUGCGUGGCUUGCAGUGACGUGUGUAGGAGGGAUGGUCACUUGGGGCUGCUGGCAUGUGCGACACCCCUGCUCACCUUAAUUCGAGCUUAAAAACCACAAACUGUUCCAUGCAAGAGUGAGAGCAAGUACUUGAAACCUUGGCCUCCCUCCCUAACAGUGCAGUGUGUGUGUGUGUGUGUGUGUGUGUGUGUGUGUGUGUGUGUGUGUGUGUGUGUGUGUGUGUGUGUGUGUGUGUAGACAAAGGUGACCAAGCUGGCUACUGGACCACCUCAUGCAGGGAAGCAGGAGGGCCACUACAAUGCUACAGCUGCACAACUCAGAGGGAGCACAAACUUUCCAACUGACAAUCCUUUUCUAUUUGAGGCAAAUAAUGAGGUAUGGUAUCUUGAGAGAGAGAGAGAGAGAGAGAGAGAGAGAGGUAUCAGGGAAUAUAUUGGUACUUUUAACUGUUAACUGUGAGUCUCUGGGAGCAUAAUUUUUGUUAUAAAGUUUAUUCAGUGUUUUUAAAAACUAGUAGAAACAUGUACAUCAGUUGUUGUUAUUUCAUAAAUGUAAAAAAAUGAUAAGAUGAUAUCCUUCAGCAUUUUAACCUGUUAGUGGUGACAGCAAUCCCAGAUCACUAUUGUGUUUGUUUCCAUGGACCAGUGGUGGGCGGCACCAGUGUCUGUAAGGGAGGAGGGAGGGUGGGAGUCUGUGGGUCAGUCCUCAGUGGAGUGAUGGUGUGGAUGGGUGAGGGAGUUGAGGGCUUAUUCUGCCACUGCCAUUUUGGGUCCAAAGUAACCUACAUUUUAAUUAAUACAUAUCUAAACAUAGUAGAUAAGCCUUAACAGAGACCAGUGAACCAGUAGAACAAUGCCUAUUCACCAGUAACAAUGCGCACCACCACACCAGUCCCCAGAAUGGCAUGGGGGAUGGCCACCUUGUCUGGGCCUCCAGAUGGCUCCCUCACACCUGCAGAUGAAAAACUAGAAUGAGAACAUCACCAGGAUCUAUUUUUGCACUGUUGUUAUUAUUACUAACGUUUAUUUUCUUGAACCAAGGACCAUGUUUCACUAACAGGGAAUGCCUUGCCACAAAGGAGAGUGUCACUGAGUGGGUUGUAUGUUCCUCUCACCAGCCUGCCUGUGUGACAUGGCAUGGUGGUGUGUGGUAGUGUGUGGUGUGUGGCUGGCAGCAGGUGUUAGUCAAACAUGUAGCCUUGGCAAGCAAUCCAUCAUGUUCUUAUAAGCCAAUCUUGCUCUUCUAAGUGUUAAUUUGGGCUUAAUUCUGUCUGGCCACUUUUUAUGAUGGACAGUAUCUAAUUUUGUUGGUACAAGAACAUACAUUUCUGAAGGUUUUGUAAAGUGUUUAUGUUAUUUUCAUUAUUAUUAUUAUUAUUAUUAUUAUUAUUAUUAUUAUUAUUAUUAUUAUUAUUAUUAUUAUUAUUAUUAUUAUUGCUGUUGUUACUACUACUACUACUACUACUAUCAUUAUCAACAUCAUUGCCAUCAUCAUUACUACUAUUACUGCUAUUAUUUUUGUGCAUAUUUUAAGAGGCACAUCUGAUGAAUAAUAAGUAUUUGGAUGAGUCCAUAUGACAAAAUGGAGAGUGUGUUUGAAGUUGUGUUGAAAUAUAUGUAGAAUUUAUUUGAUCAGAUUCUUCUUUCUUGAGCAUCAAUAAUUGUUACAUGUGUGUGUGUGUGUGUGUGUGUGUGUGUGUGUGUGUGUGUGUGUGUGUGUGUGUGUGUGUGUGUGUGUGUGUGUGCUUUGUAUUGUUUGUUACCUUAUAUGCAGCUGUGUGUGUGUGUGUGUGUGUGUGUGUGUGUGUGUGUGUGUGUGUGUGUAUGUGUACGUGCGCAUGAGCUCACACGUACGUUACUUUGUGCAAUCUAUAGUUUUAUUUUUAUUUAUACGAAGAGUCACAUUGCUGGUAAAUUUACGAUUUUUCCUUCUGAGUGACGAGCUGCUUGUAUUCCGUUACCAUGGACAGCUGCAUUGAACAGUAGUCAGACUCCUGCAGCCUACUGAAAACUUUUAUAAAUUAGUUGAAAUAUUUAGAUAUCUGCAUUUGAUUGUUGUAUGAAUCUGUAUAUAUGUAUAUUAAAAAUCCUUAUCA